rnacentral:rRNA from 1 species
UUGAUCCUGCCGGACCCUACUGCUAUCGGGAUGGGACUAAGACAUGCUAGUUGUGCGUCUCCUAGCCAUGUUGGAGGCGCAGCGCACAGCUCAGUAGCACGUGGUUAACUUGCCCUUGGGACGGAAACACCCCCGGGAAACUGGGGCUAAUUUCCGAUAGGUGAGGAACCCUGGAAUGGGUCUUCGCUCAAAUGGCGUUUAGACCAUGCUUCUAGACGUUGCUCAAGGAUAGGACCGCGGCCGAUCAGGUUGUUGGUGAGGUAACGGCUCACCAAGCCUUUAACCGGUGCGGGCCGUGGGAGCGGGAGCCCGGAGAUGGGAACUGAGACAAGGUCCCAGGCCCUACGGGGCGCAGCAGUCGCGCAAACUUUGCAAUAAGCGAAAGCUUGACAGGGCCAUCCCGAGUGCCGUCCGCUGAGGAUGGCUUUUCCCCAGUAUAGAUAGCUGGGGGAAUAAGGAGAGGGCAAGUCUGGUGUCAGCCGCCGCGGUAAUACCAGCUCUCCGAGUGGUGUGGAUGUUUAUUGGGCCUAAAGCAUUCGUAGCCGGCUGGGUAAGUCCUCUGUUAAAUCCAGCGAUUUAAUCGUUGGACUGCGGGGGAUACUGCCCGGCUUGGGGGCGAGAGAGGCCGACGGUACUCUCAGGGUAGGGGUGAAAUCCUAUAAUCCUGGGAAGACCACCAGUGGCGAAGGCUGUCGGCUAGAACGCGCUCGACGGUGAGGGAUGAAAGCUGGGGGAGCGAACCGGAUUAGAUACCCGGGUAGUCCCAGCUGUAAACGAUGCAGGCUAGGUGUUAGGGCGGCUACGAGCCGCCCUAGUGCCGCAGGGAAGCCAUUAAGCCUGCCGCCUGGGGAGUACGGCCGCAAGGCUGAAACUUAAAGGAAUUGGCGGGGGAGCACCACCAGGGGUGAAGCUUGCGGUUUAAUUGGAGUCAACGCCGG